rnacentral:rRNA from 1 species
GACGAACGCUGGCGGCGUGCUUAACACAUGCAAGUCGAACGGAAAGGCCCUGCUUUUGUGGGGUGCUCGAGUGGCGAACGGGUGAGUAACACGUGAGUAACCUGCUCUUGACUUUGGUAUAACUUCAGGAAACUGGGGCUAAUACCGGAUAGGAGCUCCUGCUGCAUGGUGGGGGUUGGAAAGUUUCGGCGGUUGGGGAUGGACUCGCGGCUUAUCAGCUUGUUGGUGGGGUAGUGGCUUACCAAGGCUUUGACGGGUAGCCGGCCUGAGAGGGUGACCGGCCACAUUGGGACUGAGAUACGGCCCAGACUCCUACGGGAGGCAGCAGUGGGGAAUAUUGCACAAUGGGCGGAAGCCUGAUGCAGCAACGCCGCGUGCGGGAUGACGGCCUUCGGGUUGUAAACCGCUUUCGCCUGUGACGAAGCGUGAGUGACGGUAAUGGGUAAAGAAGCACCGGCUAACUACGUG